UAGCGGUGGAGUGCGCAGAUAUCAGGAGGAACACCGGUGGCGAAGGCGGGUCUCUGGGCAGUAACUGACGCUGAGGAGCGAAAGCGUGGGGAGCGAACAGGAUUAGAUACCCUGGUAGUCCACGCCGUAAACGGUGGGUACUAGGUGUGGGUUUCCUUCCUUGGGAUCCGUGCCGUAGCUAACGCAUUAAGUACCCCGCCUGGGGAGUACGGCCGCAAGGCUAAAACUCAAAGAAAUUGACGGGGGCCCGCACAAGCGGCGGAGCAUGUGGAUUAAUUCGAUGCAACGCGAAGAACCUUACCUGGGUUUGACAUGCACAGGACGCCGGCAGAGAUGUCGGUUCCCUUGUGGCCUGUGUGCAGGUGGUGCAUGGCUGUCGUCAGCUCGUGUCGUGAGAUGUUGGGUUAAGUCCCGCAACGAGCGCAACCCUUGUCUCAUGUUGCCAGCGGGUAAUGCCGGGGACUCGUGAGAGACUGCCGGGGUCAACUCGGAGGAAGGUGGGGAUGACGUCAAGUCAUCAUGCCCCUUAUGUCCAGGGCUUCACACAUGCUACAAUGGCCGGUACAAAGGGCUGCGAUGCCGCGAGGUUAAGCGAAUCCUUUUAAAGCCGGUCUCAGUUCGGAUCGGGGUCUGCAACUCGACCCCGUGAAGUCG
rnacentral:rRNA from 1 species